CACAGACUAAAGCUAUUGUGCAAUAUCUUUAUCCACCAUUAAAGUCAUUUAACACUCAAGUGACAGCUCCAGUUUCCUCAGAUGUGCCAAUUUUCACUUUCCAGGAUCGAAAUUGUCAGGCGUUCUGUUUCCUAUAACAGCUCUUGUUAUAGCAAUGCAAGAAAAUAUGAACAAUAUUCAAUAACCAAAGUAACAACAUACUGUAUGAGAUAUCACAUGAAGUCAUUAAUAUUUCUUCAAUCUUGAUUUUCAGCAAUAAAAUGAGCAGGUUUCAAAAGUUGGCCUUUGGCAGUCUAAACCUAAAAUGACUUGGAACAGUCAAACUAACCAAAACAUUGCAGGUUCUGACGUAAAAAGGCGAAAUCACCACACAAAAAAGAUUCCGGGCCUUCACCUGGACACAGUCGCACAACUUUAACCGAUACAACUAGUACGUCAAAGCCACAGUCCACUUCCGGUGGAACUAAUGGGUCUUUCUAGGAAGCAUCAGACUGUGGAGCGCCCUCUAGUAGUCUGCGUUCUUGAGAAGCUGGUGAUACAGCGCCACAUGGAAGAGUGAGACAAACAUCACAGUCUAACCUCGGGGAAAUCAACUGCAAACUGAACCAUUCAGUAAACCCAAUGCAAAUUUUUGAAUAUCAACUCUUUGAUAAUGAAGAGAAUAUAGUGUUGUUGCCUGGAAAACUCGACCAUGCUUAGAGAAAAAGUGCCGGAACGGGUUCGCCCACCUACAGCUAUUCAAGCCUUCAAAUUAUAUCGCGAGAUUUCUCGAUAAAAUGUGACUUCACAUAAAAGCGACUGUGCAUAUAUUUUCAUUGACUGCUGAAAACUGCUUUUGAAAUGUACAACUUGCCAGUUUUCAUCUUCAUUGUAAAAGACCCAUAGUUAAAUAUCAAGAUCAUCUUGCGAGACUUCACAAGACAUUAUAACGUUAUGAAUGUGAAAGAGUUUAUAUUGACAGUCAACAAUGAUUAUGUCUAGCCUGCCUUUAUUGCUCCCAACUAAAAUGUGGAAUUUAUAUUUUGAAAUGAACAUCGGUGUGGUUUCCAAAUGUAAUGAGAAUGCAUUUCCAUUCAAGGCAUGUUUGUAAAAAGCUUUAACAAAAAAUUAGACCUUAAAGACA